rnacentral:lncRNA from 1 species
ACAUGAAGGAUCCGGCGGGAGGAGUCUGCGAGGAGGAGGCGGAGGAGGAGGAGGAGGGAGGGAGGAGAGAGGAAGACCGGAGUCCCCGCGGCGGCGGUCCGGGGCGAGGGUGAGCCCCGCGCGGCGCGGGCACUGGUCGCUACCACGAGGCCGGGACGCCGGACCCUGGGGUAGGAGGGAAAGUGGGCGCGGGGCGGGGAGAUGAGGGGGUCUGUCUGAGUGGCAUUUUUAGCUUACAACCUGCCACGCAGAUUCUCCGGGGCGAGAGGGGAGGGGUGUGCGGGGAGGGCGGGGAAGCCUUGAUUUCUCCGCACGUUCGUGCUCGCAUCCCCGAUCUUUUCCCGCUUCCUCUCGGGGCUCACCUGUUUAUUUCCAUCAACCAGAGCUUGCAGUUGUUUUUUUUGUGUGUAGGCAUGAGAGGCUGUUCCUUUUAUUAGAAGCAUUAUUGGGGAAGGAGGGGUGCGUGGCUGUAAUUUAUGCCGGUCUCGGUCGCUUUUCAAGAAGGGGGAGGGGACUUGGCGAAGAUCGCCUGCUCCCGGCCGUAGCUGACCCCAUGGGCGUAACCCCUGCCUUACCCCUUCCGAAGAAUCUUUUCCCUCAGCUACCCGCAGGCCAGCUGCCACCUUCUUGGAGAAGGACCACACCUGUGCUUAUUCCUCGCUUUGGAGGAGAGAACUUGAGGAAGUGGGACUGAUGGGGACGCUUUUCCCCUCUGGGAGAGCAGAGAGAGCUCGUUCCUUGUAAAGUUGCCCCAUGAGAAAAAGUUCAGCACAGAACAAAUUAAAUUCUCAUUUCCCAAGACUCUCCAUCAGAGUGGUAACAGCAGAAGGACGGUGCUGCAGCGGUCUCUGGGAAGAGAGGGCCGAUUAAAGGGAGCUUGUGGAUCUCCUCGACUUGCAGGCUCUGUGGAGGGAGCACACUUCAUAAAUCCUGAUGGACUGAUUUUUGGCUACAUCCUCAGAUUUGUACGAAGAACUGUUUUGAGUGAAUCAGUGUGUCUUUGUUUGCAUCUUCUGGAAUCCUGAAGACUGAGCCAAGGAGUUAGCAAGGCUGAGCCCUGUACUGAGCAUUUAAUCAGUUGAACACUUCCUUAUGUUUCCCUGGUUUGUGCUCAUAACAAGUGACCUUCGUCCAACUCCUCGCAACACACGAUUGUGGAAUGUUCCCUCCUGAGGAACAUGCUUUGUUUUUUUCAUUGUGAACACACUGAAAAUCUCUGAAAAUUCAAAUGAGUUUGGACAGUGGUAAUAAUGUAAGCUAACUGUACCUGCUGUGUGCCCAGUAUUCUACAUAUGUAUUAUGUUCUGCAUAUGUAUUCAGUUAGUGUUUACAUGCUAACUGUUCCAACAGCCCUGGUCAAAUGGGGGCGGGGGCAGGGGAACUAAGGCUUAGAAAAAUGUGGUCACUUACCUGAGUUAACUUGUUCAAGCCUCAGCUUCUGCAUCCUUAUAUUUACUGCAGAUUCAUAUCAGCAUCCUUGUACAAGUGAGGCAGUGCUAGAACCCCAAAGUCAUAAUAUUUUCAUUGAUUCCUUUCUUCUACCUGUAAACACUGUUGGGACCUUUUGGUUUUGAUUUUGAAUACACAUUACCUAUUCAAUAAUUCAGGAGUGGAAUGAUGCACAUGUAAUUCUGAGUCCUGAGAAUUCAGAAGCCCCCAUGGUAAUAAAAAGCUAACAUUGAUUAAAGACUUUCUGCA